UUUUUCACUAUAGUAGCGUCCCGAUCCUUGAUAACACACUCGAGUAUGGCAAAAAGCGCAAGAGCAUGCACUUCAAGCGUAAACUUGUAAACUGAAUCGUAAUAUUUAAAUAAAAUCUGUUGUGGGGCCCUUUAGAUUUCUAAGUUAGUAGUCUAGUCCAUCAGGUUUUAUUAUGUCAUGCCAACCAUUGUAGUCUUAUGAUACCCUAACCGUCAUUUUUGUUGUGUUAUUCUCUCUUCUAUUUGAUUCUCUAUAUUGUUAACAUAUAUUACCUUAAUUCAUCGGAUAAAAGAAAACGACAGUAACAAACUUGUUGGAGAUGUAUGCACAAUUAAUUGUCCCACAAGUUACAUUUUACUAAGUUGUUUAUUUUAAUUAUCAACGUAACACUUUCUGGUGAUUAUAAGGUGGCUGUGAAGCGGAUUCUUGUGGGAAAAUACGGAACUUGUGCCGGUCAAGCAUGCAUAGCAAUUGACUAUGUCAUUGUGGAAAAGAGAUGCUGUUCAAAAUUGGUACAUCUCUUAAAUUCAAGUAUUCAGGUUCACUGUUCUGUAAGUUUUUGAUAUUACAUUUAAUUCAUUAAACUUACUCUUGUUUUAUUUUAUUUCUAUAAGGUGGAAUUGAUGAAGGUGUGGAUCAAGAAAAUGUUUGGAGACAACCCACAACAUUCCAACACUAUAGCAAGGAUAGUUAAUAAACAACACUUAACUAGAUUAAUGAAACUUCUUGAUGAUCAAAAGGUUCAAGAAUCUGUGGU
rnacentral:lncRNA from 1 species